rnacentral:rRNA from 1 species
AGUAAAAGUCGUAACAAGGUUUCCGUAGGUGAACCUGCGGAAGGAUCAUUAUUGAAUUCCACUUGGGUGAGAUUGCUGCUGGCCUUUGGGCAUGUGCGCAUCUCUCUCAUUUACCUCAUACCUCUGUGCACAUUUCACAGGACAGCUCGCGGCCUCUAGCUGCAGGCUGCUUCUGUGUAUUUUACAAACCUUUUUAUAACAGUUGAGAAUGUUUCUGUGUAUUUACACAAUGAAAUACAACUUUCAGCAACGGAUCUCUUGGCUCUCGCAUCGAUGAAGAACGCAGCGAAAUGCGAUAAGUAAUGCGAAUUGCAGAAUUCAGUGAACCAUCGAAUCUUUGAACGCAUCUUGCGCUCCUUGGUAUUCCGAGGAGCAUGCCUGUUUGAGUGUCAUGAUAUUCUCAAUUCCUUCAGCUUCUGCUGGAGUGACAUUGGACUUGGAGGCUGUUGCAGGAAUCCUUCUGGAUGCCAGCUCCUCUUAAUUGCAUUAGUGUGAAUGUCCACUUUAUGCUCAGUGUGAUAAUUAUCUGCACUGUGCUUGGGUGAUACAGCUUCAUGCUUCAAACUGUCGCAAGACAAUCUAUUGACUUCUGACCUCAAAUCAGGUAGGACUACCCGCUGAACUUAAGCAUAUCAAUAAGCGGAGGA